rnacentral:tRNA from 1 species
GCGCCAGUAGCUCAGCUGGAUAGAGCAACGGCCUUCUAAGCCGUAGGUCGCAGGUUCGAACCCUGCCUGGCGCGCCA